rnacentral:rRNA from 1 species
AACGAACGCUGGCGGCAGGCUUAACACAUGCAAGUCGAGCGCCCCGCAAGGGGAGCGGCAGACGGGUGAGUAACGCGUGGGAAUCUACCCAUCUCUACGGAAUAACGCAUGGAAACGUGUGCUAAUACCGUAUACGUCCUUCGGGAGAAAGAUUUGUCGGAGAUGGAUGAGCCCGCGUUGGAUUAGCUAGUUGGUGGGGAAAAGGCCUACCAAGGCGACGAUCCAUAGCUGGUCUGAGAGGACGAUCAGCCACACUGGGACUAGGACACGGGCCUGACUCAUACGGGAGGAGGCAGUGGGGAAUAUUGGACAAUGGGCGCAAGCCUGAUCCAGCCAUGUCGAGUGAGUGAUGAAGGCCCUAGGGUUGUAAAGCUCUUUCACCGGUGAAGAUAAUGACGGUAACCGGAGAAGAAGCCCCGGCUAACUUCGUGCCAGCAACCGCGGUAAAAC